rnacentral:lncRNA from 1 species
AAGGAAAAGAAAAAAGUCUUAAGUAAAGAUUAGCAGACAACUUUCCCCACUAGAAAUUCUCAUUGAAAUGAUUACAUUUUGGCCAAGCAUGAUUUCAAACCGGAAAGAAAAUUACACAGCAAUAAAAUAUAGCAGCAUGAAAACUUACAUUUGUCUUCGGGGUCCACACAUGAGACACACUUGUUAUUCUGUGACUCGCUGCAUCUCUCGCAGUAAUUAAACUGGUGGAGAGUCCCCGCUUCUUGAUCUUCCACCAGCAUAAUAUGAUAGUAAUUUGCUUUCUGUUUUGCUGACUUCAAAAACUGCAUGCAAGGGCUGAGCCAGCUCCCGCACUGCUAGGAUCCUGUUGGCUUCCUCUGGCACGGCUCGGCUGGGUCCUUCCUCCCUGUGCAGCUCGCCUCAGCAGGCACACAUUUAGAAAUCAUUCACGAGCCCCUCGAAGUCGCACAAAAGAACUGCAUGGAAAGUAGGCAGAGCUGUCUGCACCAAGGGACUCCUGGUUUCCACGGGAAUGGAGUAGCUCUCUGGCUGCCUCGUUCACUUCAUCAGACCUCCCUCUAUCUGUAUGUCAUAAGCUGCAAGGUAGCAACAGCCAGGAGGGCGGACCAAAUAGGCUUUUUUUUCUCCCUCUUUUUGCUACAUAUUAACAUUGGGAAGUUUUCCUUUGCUUUUGAGAGAGAGAAACUGGAGAAAUGGCCUUUUGUGCAGAUUCCUGUUAAGAAUAUCAAGGCAAGAUUGUGUCUGAAGUAG